GGUCCGGGCGUUAUCCGGAUUUAUUGGGUUUAAAGGGAGCGUAGGCCGUUGUUUAAGCGUGUUGUGAAAUGUCCCGGCUCAACCGUGGCACUGCAGCGCGAACUGGACGACUUGAGUGCGCGGAACGUAUGCGGAAUUUGUGGUGUAGCGGUGAAAUGCUUAGAUAUGACGAAGAACUCCGAUAGCGAAGGCAGCCUGCUGGGGUGGCAUUGACGCUGAGGCUCGAAAGCGCGGGUAUC
rnacentral:rRNA from 1 species